rnacentral:rRNA from 1 species
UAGGGAAUCUUCCACAAUGGACGCAAGUCUGAUGGAGCAACGCCGCGUGAGUGAAGAAGGUUUUCGGAUCGUAAGGCUCUGUUGUUGGUGAAGAAGGAUAGAGGCAGUAACUGGUCUUUAUUUGACGGUAAUCAACCAGAAAGUCACGGCUAACUACGUGCCAC